rnacentral:lncRNA from 1 species
GACUUUGGUGGAUAUGAGUUAGGAUGCCUAGAUUUCUAGUCUGCCUCUUUCUCGCUAGUCGACUUAUGUCAGCAGUGAGGUGGAUGACCAUCUAGAGCUCUGCGACUUGCUCACUACCGAUGGUAGGGGCUGGAGAGCUCAAAUAUCAUUUGAUUUUUUAGUGGUCUGUUUGCUGAUUAGAUUCUUGCCACUCCAAUUUCAGUUCAUAACAGUCAUAAUUUGAGAGU